rnacentral:rRNA from 1 species
GACGAACGCUGGCGGCGUGCUUAACACAUGCAAGUCGAACGGAAAGGCCCUGCUUGCAGGGUGCUCGAGUGGCGAACGGGUGAGUAACACGUGGGUGAUCUGCCCCUUACUUUGGGAUAAGCCUGGGAAACGGGGUCUAAUACUGGAUAGGACCAUGCUGUAGGUGGUGUGGUGGAAAGAUUAGUUUCGGUAAGGGAUGAGCUCGCGGCCUAUCAGCUUGUUGGUGGGGUAAUGGCCUACCAAGGCGUCGACGGGUAGCCGGCCUGAGAGGGUGGACGGCCACAUUGGGACUGAGAUACGGCCCAGACUCCUACGGGAGGCAGCAGUGGGGAAUAUUGCACAAUGGGCGCAAGCCUGAUGCAGCGACGCCGCGUGGGGGAUGACGGCCUUCGGGUUGUAAACUCCUUUCAGCCAUGACGAAGCCCUUGUGGUGACGGUAGUGGUAGAAGAAGCACCGGCUAACUACGUG